rnacentral:tRNA from 1 species
GGAAAGAUAGCUCAGAUUGGUAGAGCGGCAGGUUGAAGCCCUGCGCGUCGGAGGUUCGAUUCCUUCUCUUUCCA